rnacentral:lncRNA from 1 species
UUGGAGGCUUCAAGAUCCGCGGCUUUCUGAAGAAGACUAUUGGGAUCGUCCUCGAGGACCAUCCUUAUGGGGAACGAUCCGAGGCCGUCGGCGAUGGCGAGCAUGAUCUUCCUCAUCUCGUCGCGGAACUCGCGGCGGUCGACGGCGCCGCUCCGGUCGCCGUCGAACUUGUCGAAGAUGGAGUCGUAGAGCUUCGCGAGCUGCUCCGGCGGCGUGGAAACGUCGAUGCCGAAGUGCGUCUCGAUGAGGCGCAUGGACUCGAAGGCCGUGCGGAGCUCCGAGCGCGAGAGGACGCCGUCGUUGUUGAGGUCCAGCGCCGAGAACUGCUCGUCCACGCUCUUGGUGAAGGCGGUUUCGUCGUUCACGAAGUCGCGCACGGUGCUGCCGUCGAUCACCACGACGCCCAUUCUGUUUUGU